GGGGUCGGGAUAUCGCGAUAUGGGGGGGUCGGGAUAUCGCGAUAUGGGGGGGGUCGGGAUAUCGCGACAGAGCCGCCCUGUCGCGACCUGGUCUCCCUAUCGCGACAGUCGCGACAUGGCCGCCAUAUUGGAACUGUCCACCUAUCGCGACACGGUCUCUCUAUCGCGAUAUGACCGCUCUAUCGCGACAUGACCGCUCUAUCGCGAUAUGGUCUCUCUAUCGCGAUAUGACCUCUCUAUCGCGAUAUGGCGGCCCUAUCGUGACUAUCGCGACAUGGUCUCUCUAUCGCGACAUGACCUCUCUAUCGCGAUAUGGUGUCGUUGUCCCCUCCCCUCCCCCGCAGAGGGCGGCACCGACCCCGCCCAGAACCCGGCGCUGGCGACGGCGCUGAGACACUGCCGGACACACAACGUCCCCAAAGUGACCGUCCUGGGGGCACUCAGGGUGAGUGACCACUGAGUGACCACUGACCAACUGACCACUGAGUGACCACUGACCCACCCUGAGUGA
rnacentral:lncRNA from 1 species